rnacentral:rRNA from 1 species
AGGUUGAGGUGGCGGUGUAGGUGGAGGAAGACGAUGAGGUAGCCAACACUGUUUAAUAUAUAUAUAUAUAUAUAUAUAUAUAUUUUAUUUUAAUUGGGGUAGCCCCCCAAAUAUUGGGACAUAUAAAAAAAAACAACCACUCUGUUGACAUGCACUUAGUUGACUCUAGAGAACCUCGGGCCAAUCGCACAUCCCUGUGACAGGAACUUUGCAUUUGGAUGUCAUCCAUAUCAACUUUUGAUGCCAGUUUCUGUGCCUAUCAUGGUGACCACGGGUAACGGGGAAUCAGGGUUCCAUUCCAUACAGGAUUGUAAGGAAGGCAGCAGGCGCGCAAAUGACCCACUCCCGACGCCGGGAAGUGACGACAAAUAACAAUACAGGACUCUUUAAAGGCCCUGUAAUUGUAAUGAGUCCACUUGAAAUCCUUUAAAUUGGAGGGAAGUCUGGUGCAGAGCCACUGACCCGU